GUUUCCGUAGGUGAACCUGCGGAAGGAUCAUUACCGAGUGCUACGAGCGAGAGCUCGUUACCUCCCACCCUUUGUGAACAUACCUCUGUUGCUUUGGCGGCUCUCGCCGCGAGGGGAGGCCCUGAAAAGGGCCCGCCCCCCUCGCGCGCCCUCCGCCAGAGGACCUUCAAACUCCAGUCAGUAAACGUCGACGUCUGAUACACAAGUUAAUAAACUAAAACUUUCAACAACGGAUCUCUUGGUUCUGGCAUCGAUGAAGAACGCAGCGAAAUGCGAUAAGUAAUGUGAAUUGCAGAAUUCAGUGAAUCAUCGAAUCUUUGAACGCACAUUGCGCCCCUUGGCAUUCCGAGGGGCAUGCCUGUUCGAGCGUCAUUACAACCCUCAAGCUCUGCUUGGUAUUGGGCGCCGUCCUCUCUGCGGACGCGCCUCAAAGACCUCGGCGGUGGCUGUCCAGCCCUCAAGCGUAGUAGAAUACACCUCGCUUUGGAGCGGCUGGCGUCGCCCGCCGGACGAACCUUCUGAACUUUUCUCAAGGUUGACCUCGGAUCAGGUAGGGAUACCCGCUGAACUUAAGCAUAUCAAUAAGCGGAGGAA
rnacentral:rRNA from 1 species